rnacentral:rRNA from 1 species
GACGUAGGGGGCCAGCGUUGUUCGGAAUUACUGGGUGUAAAGGGUUCGUAGGCGGUGCGGCAAGUUGGGAGUGAAAUCUCUGGGCUUAACCCAGAGGCUGCUUCCAAAACUGCUGUGCUUGAGUGUGGGAGAGGCGCGUGGAAUUGCAGGUGUAGCGGUGAAAUGCGUUGAUAUCAGAAGGAACGCCGGCGGCGAAAGCGGCGCACUGGACCUCUUCUGACGCUGAGGCGCGAAAGCUAGGGGAGCAAACGGG